rnacentral:rRNA from 1 species
AUUGAACGCUGGCGGCAUGCUUUACACAUGCAAGUCGAACGGCAGCGCGGGGGCAAACCCUUGGCGGCGAGUGGCGAACGGGUGAGUAAUGCAUCGGAACGUAUCCUGUAAUGGGGGAUAACGUAGCGAAAGUUACGCUAAUACCGCAUACGCUCGAGAGAGGAAAGUGGGGGAUCGCAAGACCUCACGUUAGUAGGAGCGGCCGAUGUCCGAUUAGCUAGUUGGUGGGUAAAGGCCUACCAAGGCGACGAUCGGUAGCUGGUCUGAGAGGAUGAUCAGCCACACUGGGACUGAGACACGGCCCAGACUCCUACGGAGGCAGCAGUGGGGAAUUUUGG